UAUGCAUAAAAUGAGCAGGACACAAAUAACCAUGCCGUAAAAUUGGAAUCGCGAUAAACGCAGUCGGCGGGGCCCCAGAUGUCGAUUUGACGGCUGCGCCAUGUUUCCGUUCUUCCUCUUUCUCCUUUCUGUCCUUUCUCUCUUUUCUUUCUCUUUUCUUGUGCAUUU
rnacentral:ribozyme from 12 species